CAGAGAGUAGUUUAAAAUUAGAAUGUUGGCUUUGGGGGCUGAUGGUGAAGUUAAGUGCUUUUUCUCUGAU
rnacentral:tRNA from 1 species